rnacentral:tRNA from 2 species
GACGGGGUAGUUCAGCCGAGAGUGAACGCCGGGCUCAUGUCCCGGAUGCCGCAGGUGCAAAUCCUGCCCCCGUCA